GACGAACGCUGGCGGCGUGCUUAACACAUGCAAGUCGAACGGAAAGGCUCUGCUUUUGUGGGGUGCUCGAGUGGCGAACGGGUGAGUAACACGUGAGUAACCUGCCCUUGACUUUGGGAUAACUUCAGGAAACUGGGGCUAAUACCGGAUAGGAGCUCCUGCUGCAUGGUGGGGGUUGGAAAGUUUCGGCGGUUGGGGAUGGACUCGCGGCUUAUCAGCUUGUUGGUGGGGUAGUGGCUUACCAAGGCUUUGACGGGUAGCCGGCCUGAGAGGGUGACCGGCCACAUUGGGACGGAGAUACGGCCCAGACUCCUACGGGAGGCAGCAGUGGGGAAUAUUGCACAAUGGGCGGAAGCCUGAUGCAGCAACGCCGCGUGCGGGAUGACGGCCUUCGGGUUGUAAACCGCUUUCGCCUGUGACGAAGCGUGAGUGACGGUAAUGGGGAAAGAAGCACCGGCUAACUACGU
rnacentral:rRNA from 1 species